rfam:Triticum urartu cultivar G1812 contig478543, whole genome shotgun sequence.
GUUAUACUCCCUCCGUCUCAAAAUUCUUGUCUUACAUUUGUCCAAAUAUGGAUGUAUUUAGUUACGUUUUAGGUGUUAGAUACAUUAGUAUCUGUCUAGAAAAAUUUAAGAAAAGAAUUUUAGGACGGAUGCAGUAUAUA